GAUGCUAGAAUCACAGGAGAAUGGCAUGAUUGACCUUCCAGAUUAUGAGCAUGUAGAAGAUGAAACUUUUCCUCCUUUCCCACCUCCAGCCUCUCCAGAGAGACAAGAUGAUGAAGGAGCUGAACCUGAUAGUCAGGAAGUGGAGCACUUGUUCCUGUACCUCCAAAGAGAGCAGUUAAAAGAAAUAUAUCCGAGCUGGAUGCUCACAGAUUAAUUUCAGAGAGAGGGCUUCCAGCCUUAAGGCAUGUAUUUGAUAAGGCAAAAUUCAAAGGUAAAAGUCAUGAGGCUGAAGACUUAAAGAUGCUAAUCAGACACAUGGAACACUGGGCACGUAGGCGAUUCCCUAAACUGCAGUUUGAGGAUUUUAUUGACAGAGUUGAAUACCUGAGAAAUAAAAAGGAAAUUCAGACCUGUUUAAAAUGAAUUCGACUUGAUCUCCCUAUUUUACAUGAAUAUGUUGUUAGCAAUAAUGAGGAAGUUGGGGAAAAUAAUGGACAUUGUGUAACUGCUACUGAAUUAGAUCCCUUUCUGACAAACUCAUCUGAAAGUGAGAUGUUUGCUUCUGAGUCAAGUAGAAGCCUAACAGAUGAGCAACAACAAAGGAUUGAGAGAAAUAAACAACCGGCUUUGGAAAGAAGGCAGGCAAAGCUGCUGAGUAAUAGUCCCUAGGAAAUGAUAAUGUUAAUGAAUACACCCAGGGUACAGACAAUUGAAGAGGUUAAUACUGAUGAAGAUCAAAAGGAGGAGUCAAAUGGAU
rnacentral:lncRNA from 1 species